rnacentral:rRNA from 1 species
GACGUAGGGUCCAAGCGUUGUCCGGAUUUACUGGGCGUAAAGAGCGCGUAGGCGGCUCGAUAAGUGUGAAGUGAAAUCUCUAGGGCUCAACCCAGAAACUGACUUUACAUGCUGUCGAGCUGGAGUGAUGAAGAGGUUUGUGGAAUUCCAGGUGUAGCGGUGAAAUGCGCAGAUAAUCAGGAGGAACACCAAUUGCGAAGGGCAGCUCGCUGGGACGUUAACUGACGCUGGA